CAUGCAAGUAGAACGCAGAGGAUUGGUGCUUGCACUAAUCUAAUGAGUUGCGAACGGGUGAGUAACGCGUAGGUAACCUGCCUGGUAGCGGGGGAUAACUAUUGGAAACGAUAGCUAAUACCGCAUAAUAGUUUAUGACUCAUGUUAUAAACUUGAAAGAUACAACUGUAUCACUACCAGAUGGACCUGCGUUGUAUUAGCUAGUAGGUAGGGUAACGGCCUACCUAGGCGACGAUACAUAGCCGACCUGAGAGGGUGAUCGGCCACACUGGGACUGAGACACGGCCCAGACUCCUACGGGAGGCAGCAGUAGGGAAUCUUCGGCAAUGGGGGGAACCCUGACCGAGCAACGCCGCGUGAGUGAAGAAGGUUUUCGGAUCGUAAAGCUCUGUUGUAACGGAAGAACGGGAGUAGGAGUGGAAAGCCUACUUUGUGACGGUACUUA
rnacentral:rRNA from 1 species